rnacentral:rRNA from 1 species
AGUGAACGCUGGCGGUAGGCCUAACACAUGCAAGUCGAACGGCAGCACAGUAAGAGCUUGCUCUUACGGGUGGCGAGUGGCGGACGGGUGAGGAAUACAUCGGAAUCUACUUUUUCGUGGGGGAUAACGUAGGGAAACUUACGCUAAUACCGCAUACGACCUACGGGUGAAAGCAGGGGAUCUUCGGACCUUGCGCGAUUGAAUGAGCCGAUGUCGGAUUAGCUAGUUGGCGGGGUAAAGGCCCACCAAGGCGACGAUCCGUAGCUGGUCUGAGAGGAUGAUCAGCCACACUGGAACUGAGACGCGGUCCAGACUCCUACGGGAGGCAGCAGUGGGGAAUAUUGGACAAUGGGCGCAAGCCUGAUCCAGCCAGACCGCGUGGGUGAAGAAGGCCUUCGGGUUGUAAAGCCCUUUUGUUGGGAAAGAAAAGCAGCAGGUUAAUACCCCGCUGUUCUGACGGUACCCAAAGAAUAAGCACCGGCUAACUUCGUG